UACAGAGGGGGCAAGCGUUGUUCGGAAUUACUGGGCGUAAAGGGCGCGUAGGCGGCCUGUUAAGUCGAACGUGAAAUCCCCGGGCUCAACCCGGGAACUGCGUCCGAUACUGGCAGGCUUGAAUCCGGGAGAGGGAUGCGGAAUUCCAGGUGUAGCGGUGAAAUGCGUAGAUAUCUGGAGGAACACCGGUGGCGAAGGCGGCAUCCUGGACCGGCAUUGACGCGUGAGGCACGAAAGCCAGGGGAGCGAAACGGG
rnacentral:rRNA from 1 species